CCGGGAUCGGAACAUUUAAAGUGCAAUAAUUGCAUGAAACAAGAGUAUAUUGAGAAGUCUGAAAGUUUAAUAACAUUAAAGGUAAUGAAUUUCGUUGCAUGGAGGCCAACUUUAAUACUUAUUUGUCCUCGAAGCACACAAAGUCGGAUCAAAUCUCCUCUAUUUACCCCCGAGGGACAUUCCACAGAAACCUGAUUCAUAAUUGCAGAUGCAACCACAUUAAAACCACUGGGGCCGAUGCCUUAUCAGGUUUGACAAACCACUGGGGCCGAUGCCUUAUCAGGUUUGACAAACCACUGGGGCCGAUGCCUUAUCAGGUUUGACAGGGCCUUCUCACUGGGGCCGAUGCCUUAUCAGGGUUGACAGGGCCUUCUCACUGGGGCCGAUGCCUUACCAGGUUUGACAGGGCCUUCUCACUGGGGCCGAUGCCUUAUCAGGUUUGGCAGGGCCUUCUCACUGGGGCCGAUGCCUUACCAGGUUUGGCAGGGCCUUCUCCGCGGACGCGCCCUCCCUGAGGAACGCUCUCCGUGCCUCCUCUCCCCGGCGGGCCGCCACCUCCGUCCUCGCAGGCCCGCAGAAGGCUGCCCCUCGACAUCGCCUUCAUCAGUUCACCUCCUUCCCUUCACUCCUCUCCCUCCAUUCCGUGACUCCUCUAGUACCUAACUACCUAUUCAAUCUUUAUAUGCAUUACCAUGUGAAUCCACUGUUAUUUUGAAGCGGGUGAUACAGAAAUGUGUUAUUAUUAUAACGCAGAGUUCAGCUCAGACACAGCUCACCCAUCCUGAUCUCAACGUCAGCUCCUCUCCAUCGAAGAAACAUUCACAUCAUUUAUAUAAUAUAUCAUGAUAACAAUAAUCGUCCAUUUUUAUAAAGCACUUUUCAAACCAGCUUUCACACAUGAUGCAACGUCUUUUCCUGCAAUGUUCUUGAACAUUCCCUCCAAGGGAACAUGUGUGCAUGUGAGCAGGGAUCGAUAUUUCUGGAAAUAGGCACCGCCAAUUUUCCGGCUCAAGAACCACAUUAGCGGGACACUGCCGGUACGGAUGUACCGCCAUCGUACGAGACAUAUACGUCUGGAAACACGAGCAUUUCAAAAACGAGGGAGCUUCUAAGGGAGUAUGUGUUGCAAUAGCGCCAUCUGCUGGGGGGUCUAAUCCGGCAUCGCUAUGUGACAGGCUGCAAGACAAGACAGAAAAGUUCCAGAAUGUACGAGCGAGAGAACAGGGAAAUCACUAACGCCCUCAGAUGCUCCAGUCUGAAGUCUCCAGGUGGGUCCAU
ensembl:lncRNA